rnacentral:rRNA from 1 species
CUACCUGGGCUCAGGAGUUCGUAACACGGUAGCCGUAGAACAUAAUCUUGCUUCCUGAAUACUUAAUAAGGAAGUAGUAAUACGUAAUAUUUCUGCAUCCGGCCUCAAUACUUAGAUACUGACCCGCUUGGGCAUCCAAGCGGUUCGAAAGCUCCGGCGGUGCAGGAUGAGCCCGCGGCCUAUCAGCUUGUUGGUGAGGUAAUGGCUCACCAAGGCGACGACGGGUAGCCGGCCUGAGAGGGCGACCGGCCACACUGGGACUGAGACACGGCCCAGACUCCUACGGGAGGCAGCAGUGGGGAAAUUGCACAAUGGGAUAAAUCCUGAUGCAGCGACGCCGCGUGAGGGAUGACGGCCUUCCGGUUGUAAACCUCUUUCAGCAGGGAAUAAGCGAAAGUGACGGUACCUGCCGAAGAACCGCCGCCCAACUACGUGCCAGCAGCCGCGGUAAUAAGUAGGGCGCGAGCGUUGUCAGGAAUUAUUGAGGCGUAGAAAGCUCGUAGGAGCUUUUCAAUUAGGUUCUGAAACCCCUGGGAUAAAUAACAGUCGUAG